UGUGGCUCUUAGGCAGGCUCUGACCCAUCGAUUUCUAUUUACUCACUAGAUGGAGGACCGGGGUGAUCCGCUCAUUCGCUGGCUGUUGCCAGAGCGCCGCCAUCUUGGUUAGCAUCUGACAACCAGACAUCAAUAGAAAUCUAUGUGGAGAUGAUCAAUGUUUUCAAGAGAGUUUCACCAUAAAGCUACAUUAUCCGUGCUAUUACUGUGCUGGUGCAUUUAUUCAAACUCAGUCCCACAUUUGUACAGCCAAUAUUUGUCAAAACAAAUAGAGAAGAGGAUCAGACUAUUU